rnacentral:rRNA from 1 species
GACGAACGCUGGCGGCGUGCUUAACACAUGCAAGUCGAACGAUGAAGAGGAGAAACGCGAACUUCGGUUCAAAUUUCACUUCGGAUUAGUGGCAGACGGGUGAGUAACGCGUGAGCAACCUACCUCUUACAAAGGGAUAGCCUCGGGAAACCGUGAUUAAUACCAUAUGACACAUUCAUAAGGCAUCUUAAGAAUGUUAAAGCUACGGCGGUAAGUGAUGGGCUCGCGUCCCAUUAGCUAGUUGGUGAGGUAACGGCCCACCAAGGCGACGAUGGGUAACCGGCCUGGGGAGGUGAUCGGUAACAUUGGAGGAGGGACACGGUCCAAACACUUACGGGAGGGAGCAGGGGGGAAUAAGGCACGCUGGGGGGGACUCGAAGGCAUCGACGCCGCGUAAGCGAUGAGGGAAUGCGGUACGUAAAGCACUGUUCAAUGUGAAGAAAAGGACUGUACCAUAGGAGAAAGCCCCGGCUAAAUACGU